UUAAAAACUAUGAAAAAGGAAAGUAGCGCAAAGAAAGUUUACAGAGAGAAAAGGAAGCUGAGAACUUUUCAUCAAGAAUUUGUGUGAAGUGCCCUUUGGAGUUGAAGUCUGAAUAUAGGCGAGUUUUCCUAUAUAAUUUAAAAUGUGUAUAAAACAUUUUAAAUUAUAUUUUUGUAUACCUUAGUAAGAUUCUCCGGGUUCACCCGUUAUAGUGAUAUGGCAUUUUAUAGUGCUAAGUUGAGGGGAAUUAACUGUGUUUAAUUCAAUUAGAGUGGGACCGCGAAUUUUGCUUCGUCUCUAUA
rnacentral:ncRNA from 1 species